rnacentral:rRNA from 1 species
GAUGAACGCUGGCGGCGUGCCUAAUACAUGCAAGUCGAGCGAACGGACGAGAAGCUUGCUUCUCUGCUGUUAGCGGCGGACGGGUGAGUAACACGUGGAUAACCUACCUAUAAGACUGGGAUAACUUCGGGAAACCGGAGCUAAUACCGGAUGAUAUUUUGAACCGCAUGGUUCAAAAGUGAAAGACGGUCUUGCUGUCACUUAUAGAUGGAUCCGCGCUGCAUUAGCUAGUUGGUAAGGUAACGGCUUACCAAGGCAACGAUGCAUAGCCGACCUGAGAGGGUGAUCGGCCACACUGGAACUGAGACACGGUCCAGACUCCUACGGGAGGCAGCAGUAGGGAAUCUUCCGCGAUGGGCGAAAGCCUGACGGAGCAACGCCGCGUGAGUGAUGAAGGUCUUCGGAUCGUAAAACUCUGUUAGUAGGGAAGAACAUAUGUGUAAGUAACUGUGCACAUCUUGACGGUACCUAAUCAGAAAGCCACGGCUAACUACGUG